GAAUCCCGUCUUUGGCACGGAAACCCCAGGGCUUUUGUGAUGCGCUCUCGAAGAGUCGAGUUGUUUGGGAAUGCAGCUCAAAAUGGGUGGUGAACUCCAUCUAAAGCUAAAUAUUGGCGAGAGACCGAUAGCGAACAAGUACCGUGAGGGAAAGAUGAAAAGCACUUUGGAAAGAGAGUGAAACAGUACGUGAAAUUGUUGAAAGGGAAACGCUUGAAGUCAGUCGCGUCGACCGAGACUCAGCCUUGCCCUUGGCUUGGUGUACUUCUCGGCUGACGGGUCAGCAUCAAUUUUGCCCCUUGGAUAAUGGCGAGGGAAAUGUGGCACCUUUACGGUGUGUUAUAGUCUCUUGUCGCAUGCAAGGGUUGGGAUUGAGGAACUCAGCACGCACCUUUGGGUGUCGGGGCUUUGCCCACGAUACGUGCUUAGGAUGUUGGCGUAAUGGCUUUAAACGACCCGUCUUGAAACACGGACCAAGGAGUCUAACAUGCCUGCGAGUGUUCGGGUGGAAAACUCGUGCGCGCAAUGAAAGUGAAAGUUGGGACCUCUGUCGUGGAGGGCACCGACGCCCGGACCAGACCUUCUGUGACGGCUCUGCGGUAAAGCAUGUAUGUUAGGACCCGAAAGAUGGUGAACUAUGCCUGAAUAGGGUGAAGCCAGAGGAAACUCUGGUGGAGGCUCGUAGCGAUUCUGACGUGCAAAUCGAUCGUCAAAUUUGGGUAUAGGGGCGAAAGACUAAUCGAACCAUCUAGUAGCUGGUUCCUGCC
rnacentral:rRNA from 1 species